rnacentral:lncRNA from 1 species
GGGCUAAGAAAGUAAUCCUUGACUUGACUAUAGGGCAACAAUUGCUGCUAUGGCCAUGGGUAUCUGUCUUUUGCGAUCAUCAUUUGAAUUAAGUUCUAAAAGACAGUCUCUAUCAUUUGCAUGGUGAUACAUAUGUGAAUUUAAUUGAGCAAUCAGUGAAUGUCAUUGGAUCUGAAAGAUCCAGAAUUGAGAUAAACUUAAAGUAUAUGUGGACCCUUCAGCU